rnacentral:rRNA from 1 species
CCUACGGGAGGCAGCAGUGAGGAAUAUUGGUCAAUGGCCGCAAGCCUGAACCAGCCAAGUCGCGUGAGGGAUGACUGUCCUAUGGAUUGUAAACCUCUUUUGUCAGGGAACAAAGGGCGCCACGUGUGGCGCUUUGCGAGUGCCUUAAGAAUAAGCAUCGGCUAACUCCGUGCCAGCAGCCGCGGUAAUAAGGAGGAUGCGAGCGUUAUCCGGAUUUAUUGGGUUUAAAGGGAGCGUAGAUGGGUUGUUAAGUCAGUUGUGAAAGUUUGCGGCUCAACCGUAAAAUUGCAAUUGAUACUGGCAGUCUUGAGUACAGUUGAGGUAGGCGGAAUUCGUGGUGUAGCGGUGAAAUGCUUAGAUAUCACGAAGAACUCCGAUUGCGAAGGCAGCUUACUAAACUGCCACUGACAUUGAUGCUCGAAAGUGUGGGUAUCAAACAGGAUUAGAUACCCUAGUAGUC